rnacentral:rRNA from 1 species
UACGUAGGGUGCAAGCGUUGUCCGGAAUUAUUGGGCGUAAAGAGCUCGUAGGCGGUCUGUCGCGUCGGCUGUGAAAACCCGGAGCUCAACUCCGGGCCUGCAGUCGAUACGGGCAGACUGGAGUUCGGCAGGGGAGACUGGAAUUCCUGGUGUAGCGGUGAAAUGCGCAGAUAUCAGGAGGAACACCGGUGGCGAAGGCGGGUCUCUGGGCAGUAACUGACGCUGAGGAGCGAAAGCAUGGGGAGCGAACAGG